rnacentral:lncRNA from 1 species
UUUUUUUUUUUUUUUUUUUUUUUUUUUUGGUCUUUUUAGGGCCAGACCAACGGUUAAUGGAGCGGCCCAAGAAAAUGGCAAAAAAAAAAAAAAAAGGAAAGUCAUGCCCUAAAAUGAGGCUGGAAGUGGGUGGUGUGUAUCUUCUCAUUGGGAAUGAAGUACAAGAAAAAUACAGGUUGUGAAAGAAUUCCUAACUCCUUAAAAGCGACCUGGAUUGAAGAGUUCGGGCUGUGUUUGUUUUCAACCUUAGCAGAAAGCCUGAAGGCCCCGGACUCCUCAAAUUAAAAUCAGACCCCAAAGCAAGCAAAUUGUUCCUUCUGAUUUGCCGCCCAUGGAUUUGGAGUAUAAUUUCCCUUCACUGCGGUCUGAACUUCAGAAGCCCAUCUUGCGAGCAGCUUUCAGGCCACGGACAAAGCGAAGAGACGUCCGCUUUGCAGCAGGAGAGCCUGGCGGUGCUUCAGAGCACAGCCCGGGUGGGUACAGUCCAAACCCCGGGCUGUUUGCUUUUUGCUGGGAGCUGGAGCGCACAGAGGUAAACUACUGACCCCUGUUAGCCUGUUCGGAAUACCAGAGUCAGGAGAACCUGAUGAAGAGGCCUGUAGCCGGCAAAAAGAUAAACAGCCAAUAAACAUGCAUCAGCCACAAAUCACAAAGCUCUGUAUCUGCUGCUACACACAGGCUGGCACCCUUCUUUCCUCCUCUCACGAGGUCCUCUCUUACACCAAGGCCUACAUCUUGGCUUAUUCUUAAUUCCAAAGAGGCAGAUGCUAGACAGCUCAUACAAAAGGAACGUGAACCCCUGAAUUUUGCAUUUCCUGACAGCUGAUUUAUGCUCCCAUGCCACAGUUAACUUCGUUUAAUUUAACUGCUGUGGUUUACGUUCUUUUCAAAAGCACAAAAGAGGAAGGUUAUUCGUGCCUAAAUGCCCCAAGGUUGGGAACUGAAAGAGCCCUCUUCCGCUCACACCCUGUCUGAUGAUAUUAGAAAAUGCUUCCUGAGAGGAUGAGGUGGGUCCGGUCCACCCACAAAAUGAACUGAGUAGUGAGUUGGUUGUAAAACACUAGGAUGAAAUUGAGCUGUUCAGGACUCGCUGAUCCGGCCCUGCAUAUUUUCAGGGCUUGUAUCAGUUUUAAGGUUGAUGCAGUUGCAGUGCGGAUAACCACCUCCUGGUAUGAAGUGUAUUAUGGGAUAAAGCACAGGAGGUUGGAGGAAUAAACCACAAUUCAUCACCAGAACUGCAAACUUCAUUGCACUGAGAAACAGAGUUAGAAGGGAGCAGAUGAUUGUGGAGCUGGGUUUAUUUGAAGGAAAGGAGGAACCUGGGAUCUAGGCAGGCAAGAGAGGAUGCUGGUGGAAACAUCUUAGCUAGGUUGGUUUCUGGAGUAUUAAACGCCUCUCUGAUGUGUUUCUAGGUUGGGGUAAGUGGAGCCAUGCUCUGGUUCCCAAGAAAGAGGUCUGGGUCCCCUGACUUUCCCUCCGAGGGGACAGCAUGAAGUUUCAACACUUCUCUAGCACCAGGGCUUUCCUAGGUGCUCAUCACCACUGUGCCCUAGGGCCAGCUCCACCUCCUGACAUGCCCUGGGGACACCAUUCUCUGGACCUCCUCCAACACAACUCCUUGGGAGCACAAUGAUGGGAAUGGAGCCCCAGAGCACCGAGGUCAGCAGCCUGCCUUCCUCUCCUUGAAAAAGCCUUGGAAACCAGUCUCAGGCCAGUGUGACCCAGAUUUGCCUUUAAUGUGUUUUGUUUCCCACAAACCCUUCCAUGUUAGGAAACCAGCUGAGCCAGCACGGCAGCACCAAGCUUCUCCUGGGAGACCCUGGCUGGGUGCUGGCAUCAUGGGGAACAAGAGAAGGGGAAGCAACUUUGUCAAUCUUCCCCUCCCCCAAAUGGUCAGGAAGUCAAGCCAGACCCACUCAGCCUGGCUUCAUUUAGGGAAGCAGAAUGACUCACAAGGAACUCUAAGAAGUAACCCAGGACACUGCCCCUUGCCCUCGAGGCAGUGUGUAAAUGGAGUCACGGGAACGUGUGUCAUAUUUAAAGUGUCAAGGAAAGAGUCCACAGUCUUACACAGAACACUGUUCCCAAAGUUUUACAGCUUUUACUGCUACAUAAAUUGCUCAUGUUGUAGCUUAUGCCCCUUUGGUCUCUUACUGUUCUAGCCUAGAUAAUCUUUUAGGUAAGAAAUGUGGCAUAUUAAUAAAAAAGAAUUUAUUUAUGGAAAUAAAGAUUGACUUUUUUUUUUGUCUUUUGUCUUUUUGGGGAUGCACCCAUAGCAUACGGAGGCUCUCAGCCUAGGUAGGGGUCGAUUCAGAGCUGUAGUUGCCAGCCUACGCCACAACCGCAGCAAGGCCAUAUCCGAGCCACGUGUGCAAACUACACCACAGCUCACAGCAACGCUGGAUCCUUAGCCCACUGAGCGAGGCCAGGGAUUGAACCUGCAUCCUCAUGGAUGCUAGUCAGAUUCUCUUCCGUUGAGCUGUGACAGGAACUCCAAGAUUGACUUUCAAAUCCUCCUAGGAAUCUGUAUUUUUACUUUCCAGUGAAGUAAGCCCAGUACCCAAUACAUAGUAUUAUAUUGCAGGUAUACGUACAUAGUAGGCAUUCCUUAAAUUUUUUUUGAAUAAAUGGAUUGUCCAAAUGUUUUAUAAACUAAAGGGGAAGGAAAGGUUUUUUUUUCCCCCUAAAGUGGUAGAAAUAGGAAGAAUCGUUUGAAGCUACAAAGAGACAGACUUGGAUCUGAACCGUUCAGAGCUGCUGAAAGAUGGAUCGGGGAAUGAGUUCCGUGUCACUGGGGGAAUUCAAGUGGGACAAUCAGAGUGAUGUCCGAGAUACAUAGGAAUUGGAAGGGUAAUUGGGCUGGGUCAUCUUCAGGGUACUUUGAUCCGGAAUACAAGGCAACUGUCUUUAAGAGGUGUAAUCAAAGUUUUCUGAGUUUUCAGAGAAGGGAGCCAACACAUCCAGGUAGAGUGGUGGUUCUCCAUCUUGGCUGCACAUGUAACCAUCUGAGCUUUUAAAAAUAUCAAGGCCUGGAGUUCCCAUCAUGGCUUAGUGGUUAACAAAUCCGACUAGGAACCAUGAGGUUUCAGGUUCGAUCCCUGGCCUCGCUCAGUGGUUAAGGAUCUGGCGUUGCCGUGAGCUGUGGUGUAGGUUGCAGAUGCGGCUCGAAUCCCGUGCUGCUGUGGCUGUGGUGUAGGCCCGCGGCUACAGCUCUAAUUGGACCCCUAGCCUGGGAACCUCCAUGUGCUGCAGGUGCUGCCCGACAAAAAGACAAAAUAAAGAAAUAAAAAUUAAAAAAAAUUAAAAAUAUCAAGGCCUGAAUCCUACCUCUAGAGGUUCUGACUUAAAUAAUCAGGGGCAGAGUGGUCUGGGGGAAAAAUAUUUUGAACAGCUCCCCAAAUGUAUUCAAAUAUAAUAACUGAAUUGGAAGAAAUUGAAGAAGAUUCAUUAAAGAAGGAGAAAUUACAUCUGGGCCUUAAAGGUUGGACAAGAUUUGAAUAAAUGGAAAGAAAGAGAGAGGUGUUUCCGGUAUAACUUGGUAUGUGUUUAAUAAACACAUGCUAUAGAGCAUCCAUAAAUGAAUGCCAAAUACAGUUAAUUUACUAA